rnacentral:rRNA from 1 species
CCUACGGGUGGCAGCAGUGGGGAAUAUUGCGCAAUGGGCGAAAGCCUGACGCAGCGACGCCGCGUGAGGGAUGAAGGUCUUCGGAUCGUAAACCUCUGUCAGCAGGGAAGAACGGUCACUGUGCUAAUCAGCAGUGAAUUGACGGUACCUGCAAAGGAAGCACCGGCUAACUCCGUGCCAGCAGCCGCGGUAAUACGGAGGGUGCGAGCGUUAAUGGGAAGUAAUGGGCGGAAAGCGCGCGUAGGCGGUAUGUCAAGGCAAGGGUGAAAGCCCCGCGCUCAACGGGGGAACUGCCUUUGAAACUGCCACACUGUGUGGUGUCAGAGACUAGUGUAAUUCCAGGU